UCCAUGUCGCCACCAGGUCUCAGUCCAGACAGCAGCAGGAGCGGGUAGAAUUCACUCCCAGGGUGCACGGUGAUCACUGUGAGUCAUUGUUCAUUCACAGCUCCCUUCCCAUUGUAAGGAGGGACUUGCCAAUUUGGAGCCCUGUGGUAAGCCAGCAAGCUCUUGGCAAUUGCAGCUGGGGCCUGAGGUCGUGUAAAGAUUGUUAGUCAAAUAAGUAAAUGCCCGGAGGGUGAUGGGGGGGGGGGCAUCACGCUUCUUGCUGUCUGGAGGAAAUUACAAUUCAGACAAUAGACUGUGUUGCUAGACUGUGUGGUCCAAGAGCUGGUGCAAACGCAGAGCUUUGAGUAGACAUAGAUAUUGAAUUAGUGUAAAGGUAAAUACAUGUGUAUGUGGUUACACACACACACAAAUUCAUAGAUAGAUAGAUACAUACAUACAUACAUACAUACAUACAUACAUACAUACAUAGAUAGAUAUAGAUACAUAUGUAGGUGGGUAUACACACACAUACAUUUGUGUGUGUGUAUUUCCUGGUUCUCUAGGCUGAGAAGGUUAGAAGCAAGGAUAUCCUGACAGUAGUGAGCAUGCCUAGAUAAGAGUUCAGCUUCUAAAUAUCAUUCUCCACUUAAAUGGUUGACUACACUAGGGCUGGAGUGUUGAAAAUAAACUAUGGGACAGGGGCAUUUAUACUAUGAAGUAAGGAGAUGUUUAAAGCGUGUUGGGGAUAUAGCAAAAGCACCCAGAAGUUGGCUGCCCUGAAGGGCUUCUUACAGGUCGAGGCGAGGAAACAGCAAUGUCAGGAAUGAAGCUCUAAUGUUGCUAACAACAUUCUGGAAGAGACACUGGAGACAGCGUUGAGAGGUAUCUGCAGCAGGCUGUGUGACCCAGCAGCUGGAUAUUCUCAGAAGCUCAGUCCAUGAGACCUUUGAGAACAAGGCAGACAGGACCCCAGGGGAAUUUUCUGGCUUCUUCUUGCUCCAGCCAAAAUUCCAAAAUGGAAUAGUGUGAAGUGUGAUAAGACCAAAAUGGAAGGGAAGAGGGGAGGGGGGCGGGAAAGAACCCCAGAGGUUGCUGUUUUGGAAGACUGGGGAACUGGGGACAGUGGGGGAGGAGGAGGGAGACAAAUUCCUGCCUGGAUAUUCAAUGCAAGAAGAGUUUCCUUUUCUGAUUAUAACAGUUACUGGGUCAUCAGGAUUUAAUUUUUACUGAGUGCUGAGUUCCUAAACAGUGUGCAUCCAAAUGUGUCACCAUGAGGAAGGAACCGUUCUGUGAGGACAGCGUCACUAUCACUACAAUCCCAC
rnacentral:lncRNA from 1 species